GGCAGUCGCAAAGAGAAAGGAUUGCAACACCAGGGAGGAGAUGAAAGGCCUCAUAUCAUUUUGCAGCCAACAAGAAACCUGAAGGAACUAAGAUUGGCUCUAUUUCUACAGCUUGUGAAAAGCUGAGAACGGAAGCAAUGACUGGGCUAAUUCUGGACAAAAUUUUUUAAAAUGAUUUUUGUCACAGGAACCCAGAUCUUCGCCUCAAUUCUUUGCUUUUGUCUAAAUUGCUCAUUUUUCCAAAUUUCUCCUGAACUGGCUGGUGAAAGUGGCACAGCCAACUGUUGCCAGGCAUGAUGUCCUGUCAAACUCCUGUAUCUGCAUGGUUCAAAAGGGUCUUCCUAUUCAUCAUAGUAUUAGAGGCAUCUGAUGGAAAAGUAGUGUGCCAAGGUGAUUAGUGACAACAACAACAAAAGCAACUUAUUUUUGAGCCUGUGAAAGGCCCUGUUCUAGACACUUUAUACAAGAGCUGUAUCCUUACUGAUAGCCCUGCAAGAAAAGCUAUUCUCCAAGAAGAAAAAGAAAAUGGAAGUACAAAUUUCCAACAGCACACAUUUUCUCUGCUCUCUCCUUGGCUCUGAAAGAGGAUGCGUGAAACAGAAUUUCAGGCUGUAAUUAAUGCAGCUCUUCAUAAGAUAAGAGGUUCUUUUAUCUACAGAAAAAUUGCUGCACUAAUUCUCAACAAGAAGUGCAAUGCUCCGGUUAAUGCUCUUUCUACAAGAAGAAUUCACCUAUUCUACGCUCUACAUAUUUACAGACAAAUUUGAAUAUUUUGUUAUGGGAAACUGAAGAUGGGUAAACAUACAAUGAUAAUAAUACUUUAUAGGGCUAAAUAUAAAAACCUUAAAUAUUAAUAUUAUGUUUGGAUAAAUGCUGAAUACAGUCACAUAAAGAAUUUUCAAAUAACAUUGACGCUACAGGCAUAUACUUGUAAGCACAGACCUUAAUUGGGCACAACUUAGAUCCAGCAGUCUCUGAGGGGGAGAGUAAACAAACUGGGAAAUGCAUCCUCACUUGAUACAGUGAGGAAAAAGAGCUGUGGUUCCUUGCUCUGCUCUAAAGUACUGUCCAAAGAAGGACGAAGCCCCACCGUUUGUAUUUUAAUUGAAAUAUUUCCUUGUAGAAUGCACAUUCCAAUUUAGAAACAAUACUUCCUGUAUGUAUGUUUCAUGUGUGUGCUUGGAAUAAUUGGUAAUGUGUUGGCACUGUGUUC